UGAGACACGGACCAAACUCCUACGGGAGGCAGCAGUGAGGAAUAUUGGUCAAUGGACGCAAGUCUGAACCAGCCAUGCCGCGUGCAGGAAGACGGCUCUAUGAGUUGUAAACUGCUUUUGUACGAGGGUAAACUCACCUACGUGUAGGUGACUGAAAGUAUCGUACGAAUAAGGAUCGGCUAACUCCGUGCCAGCAGCCGCGGUAAUACGGAGGAUCCAAGCGUUAUCCGGAUUUAUUGGGUUUAAAGGGUGCGUAGGCGGUUUGAUAAGUUAGAGGUGAAAUCCCGGGGCUUAACUCCGGAACUGCCUCUAAUACUGUUAGACUAGAGAGUAGUUGCGGUAGGCGGAAUGUAUGGUGUAGCGGUGAAAUGCUUAGAGAUCAUACAGAACACCGAUUGCGAAGGCAGCUUACCAAACUAUAUCUGACGUUGAGGCACGAAAGCGUGGGGAGCAAACAGGAUUAGAUACCCUGGUAGUCCACGCAGUAAACGAUGAUAACUCGUUGUCGGCGAUACACAGUCGGUGACUAAGCGAAAGCGAUAAGUUAUCCACCUGGGGAGUACGUUCGCAAGAAUGAAACUCAAAGGAAUUGACGGGGGCCCGCACAAGCGGAGGAACAUGUGGUUUAAUUCGAUGAUACGCGAGGAACCUUACCCGGGCUUGAAAGUUACUGACGAUUCUGGAAACAGGAUUUCCCUUCGGGGCAGGAAACUAGGUGCUGCAUGGUUGUCGUCAGCUCGUGCCGUGAGGUGUCGGGUUAAGUCCCAUAACGAGCGCAACCCCUACCGUUAGUUGCCAUCAGGUCAAGCUGGGCACUCUGGCGGGACUGCCGGUGUAAGCCGAGAGGAAGGUGGGGAUGACGUCAAAUCAGCACGGCCCUUACGUCCGGGGCUACACACGUGUUACAAUGGGGGGUACAGAGGGCCGCUACCACGCGAGUGGAUGCCAAUCCCUAAAACCCCUCUCAGUUCGGACUGGAGUCUGCAACCCGACUCCACGAAGCUGGAUUCGCUAGUAAUCGCGCAUCAGCCAUGGCGCGGUGAAUACGUUCCC
rnacentral:rRNA from 1 species